CUCAAGCUACCACACCUGGCUGAUAGUAGUAUUCUUUUAAGCCCAAACAAAUUUAUCCUCUAGAAAAAUUAUCUGUUAGAAGAAUCUGGAUUUUAAAUAGGUUGUCAUCUUAGCAUAUUCCCAAUUCAUUACCAAAUCCAGUUGCUUAUUAGCUUCUUGUAGCCAAUGCACGGUGCACAGUGAACAUUUAUACUAUAAGAAUUCAUAGAUGGAUUCCCCAAACCAAGGCAGCAAAGAUUACUGAUUGUCAAAGCCUUUUAUAAAAUAGGUGGAGAGCAGGAAUGGUUCUCAUCAUGUCCUGUCUCCACCAUCUUGAUUCAUCUACAGUAAAAAGGGGGGAGGGUGUGGGUGUGGAAAUAAGUUAGAUGUGUGUGUUGAUGUGUGUGUGUGUUUGUCUCUCUCACUGCCCUCACUCACAAACACCAAGCAUUCUAAUUCUGAUUUCCUGUUUACUUGGUAUGUGAGAUCCUGACCCAUCUUAAACUUAGUUUCAUUUUUCAUGAUAAACAAAAAUAAAGGCAGGAAAUUGUGGGGAGAUUUUCCCAAAUGUGGAAACAGAUAGAGUCAGG
rnacentral:lncRNA from 1 species